rnacentral:rRNA from 1 species
CGAUACAGGGUGACAGCCCCGUACACAAAAGCGCAUGUGCUGUGAGCUCGAUGAGUAGGGCGGGACACGUGGUAUCCUGUCUGAAUAUGGGGGGACCAUCCUCCAAGGCUAAAUACUCCUGACUGACCGAUAGUGAACCAGUACCGUGAGGGAAAGGCGAAAAGAACCCCGGCGAGGGGAGUGAAAAAGAACCUGAAACCGUGUACGUACAAGCAGUGGGAGCCCCACCACUAAGCCAGUGGUGAACUCCACAUCCGCAUCCUUUGCUGAGGAUACGGUUAACGGAGCGAAAGCGACGUUCAACCGCAAAACAAGCAGAGGGGGCUUAGUGGUGGGGUGACUGCGUACCUUUUGUAUAAUGGGUCAGCGACUUAUAUUCUGUAGCAAGGUUAACCGAAUAGGGGAGCCGGAGGGAAACCGAGUCUUAAUUGGGCGUUAAGUUGCAGGGUAUAGACCCGAAACCCGGUGAUCUAGCCAUGGGCAGGUUGAAGGUUGGGUAACACUAACUGGAGGACCGAACCGACUAAUGUUGAAAAAUUAGCGGAUGACCUGUGGCUGGGGGUGAAAGGCCAAUCAAACCGGGAGAUAGCUGGUUCUCCCCGAAAGCUAUUUAGGUAGCGCCUCGUGAAUUCAUCUCCGGGGGUAGAGCACUGUUUCGGCUAGGGGGCCAUCCCGGCUUACCAACCCGAUGCAAACUGCGAAUACCGGAGAAUGUUAUCACGGGAGACACACGGCGGGUGCUAACGUCCGUCGUGAAGAGGGAAACAACCCAGACCGCCAGCUAAGGUCCCAAAGUCAUGGUUAAGUGGGAAACGAUGUGGGAAGGCCCAGACAGCCAGGAUGUUGGCUUAGAAGCAGCCAUCAUUUAAAGAAAGCGUAAUAGCUCACUGGUCGAGUCGGCCUGCGCGGAAGAUGUAACGGGGCUAAACCAUGCACCGAAGCUGCGGCAGCGAACGUAUCACCCAAGACAACUUUACGGAGUUGACGAUUGACGGAGCGAAGCGACGUCAAAGCGUUCAUUAAAGUCGAGUUGGCUUAGGGAUACGUUCGUUGGGUAGGGGAGCGUUCUGUAAGCCUGUGAAGGUGUGUCGUGAGGCAUGCUGGAGGUAUCAGAAGUGCGAAUGCUGACAUAAGUAACGAUAAAGCGGGUGAAAAGCCCGCUCGCCGGAAGACCAAGGGUUCCUGUCCAACGUUAAUCGGGGCAGGGUGAGUCGACCCCUAAGGCGAGGCCGAAAGGCGUAGUCGAUGGGAAACGGGUUAAUAUUCCCGUACUUGGUGUUACUGCGAAGGGGGGACGGAGAAGGCUAUGUUGGCCGGGCGACGGUUGUCCCGGUUUAAGCGUGUAGGUGUGUGUUCCAGGUAAAUCCGGUUCACUUUAACACUGAGGCGUGACGACGAGGCACUACGGUGCUGAAGCAACAAAUGCCCUGCUUCCAGGAAAAGCCUCUAAGCAUCAGGUAACACGAAAUCGUACCCCAAACCGACACAGGUGGUCAGGUAGAGAAUACCAAGGCGCUUGAGAGAACUCGGGUGAAGGAACUAGGCAAAAUGGUGCCGUAACUUCGGGAGAAGGCACGCUGACACGUAGGUGAAGUGAUUUACUCAUGGAGCUGAAGUCAGUCGAAGAUACCAGCUGGCUGCAACUGUUUAUUAAAAACACAGCACUGUGCAAACACGAAAGUGGACGUAUACGGUGUGACGCCUGCCCGGUGCCGGAAGGUUAAUUGAUGGGGUCAGCGCAAGCGAAGCUCCUGAUCGAAGCCCCGGUAAACGGCGGCCGUAACUAUAACGGUCCUAAGGUAGCGAAAUUCCUUGUCGGGUAAGUUCCGACCUGCACGAAUGGCGUAAUGAUGGCCAGGCUGUCUCCACCCGAGACUCAGUGAAAUUGAACUCGCUGUGAAGAUGCAGUGUACCCGCGGCAAGACGGAAAGACCCCGUGAACCUUUACUAUAGCUUGACACUGAACAUUGAGCCUUGAUGUGUAGGAUAGGUGGGAGGCUUUGAAGUGUGGACGCCAGUCUGCAUGGAGCCGACCUUGAAAUACCACCCUUUAAUGUUUGAUGUUCUAACGUGGACCCGUAAUCCGGGUUGCGGACAGUGUCUGGUGGGUAGUUUGACUGGGGCGGUCUCCUCCUAAAGAGUAACGGAGGAGCACGAAGGUUGGCUAAUCCUGGUCGGACAUCAGGAGGUUAGUGCAAUGGCAUAAGCCAGCUUGACUGCGAGCGUGACGGCGCGAGCAGGUGCGAAAGCAGGUCAUAGUGAUCCGGUGGUUCUGAAUGGAAGGGCCAUCGCUCAACGGAUAAAAGGUACUCCGGGGAUAACAGGCUGAUACCGCCCAAGAGUUCAUAUCGACGGCGGUGUUUGGCACCUCGAUGUCGGCUCAUCACAUCCUGGGGCUGAAGUAGGUCCCAAGGGUAUGGCUGUUCGCCAUUUAAAGUGGUACGCGAGCUGGGUUUAGAACGUCGUGAGACAGUUCGGUCCCUAUCUGCCGUGGGCGCUGGAGAACUGAGGGGGGCUGCUCCUAGUACGAGAGGACCGGAGUGGACGCAUCACUGGUGUUCGGGUUGUCAUGCCAAUGGCACUGCCCGGUAGCUAAAUGCGGAAGAGAUAAGUGCUGAAAGCAUCUAAGCACGAAACUUGCCCCGA